CCUUCGAUAGCUCAGUUGGUAGAGCGGUGGACUGUAGAUGGCUGCAUAAUAUUUGCAAAUUACUAAGCAGGGAUCCAUAGGUCGCUGGUUCAAAUCCGGCUCGAAGGA
rnacentral:tRNA from 1 species